UACGUAGGAGGCGAGCGCUGUCCGGAAUCACUGGGUGUAAAGCGCGUGUAGGCGGCCUGCCAAGUCUGCUGUGAAAGCGCCUGGCUUAACCGGGCGAGGUCGGUGGGAACUGGCGGGCUGGAGGACGGUAGAGGGGGGUGGAAUUCCACGUGUAGCAGUGAAAUGCGUAGAGAUGCGGAGGAACACCGAUGGCGAAGGCAGCCCCCUGGGCUAACACUGACGCUCAGGCACGAAAGCGUGGGGAGCAAACAGG
rnacentral:rRNA from 1 species